rnacentral:lncRNA from 1 species
UAAUAGCUUUCUUAUUGAUUUAUAAGGUUUUGGUGUUAUGUGUCUUUUUUUUUUUUUUAAGACAGGAAGAAUGAGUCUUGGAAAAGAGAAGAAAAUCAUUAUGAAAAAUCAGCCCAGGCAUAGAAGUCAAUUCAGACAGAGCUUGGGAGUGCUGCUAAAUAUGAGCAGGACUUGGCAUCUGGACACCUCAAACUGUCAGGUAUAUCCCAUGAAGAACUACAGCUGUUCUCUCUGAUAACUGGAGAAAUAAAGAGCAAGAAGCAGCUAGACACUUGGAGUCAGCAAGAGACAAAGCACUGUUCUCAUGUUAAUUACACAGGGC